rnacentral:lncRNA from 1 species
AAUCGAAUAUGCUCUGAGCAAGCAGCACAAAGAGCUGCAAACAGUUGUAAGAAAAAUCAGGGCAUGAAAAAGGUUUGAAAAUUGUUGCUAAAGUUAUGACUCACAUGCCCAGUAAUAUGCCUUGAAUCAUGUAAAUAAAGGUUAGAAUUUUUUUUUUAAUUAUUAGUUGAUGACUUAGACUGCUUCUUUAAAGUUACACACCUUAGAGACUGUCCUGUGAUUUAGUAGCUAUUCAGAUCCUGUGUGUUGAAAAAAACGACAGAGCAAAUGAAUAGACACACUCUUUAUUUUUCAUGGAUUGAGGGCCAUUCUACACCCUCAGAUCCUGGGUUUGUGGUAGUCAUUUUUCUCACUUUUCCUGGAUCCUUUUCUAUUCAUUUCAAGGAUCUUGUCUGUGCUCUUCAAGGAUGGGAGAGGAAAGGUAUCAUGGAAAGAAGAACAGAGGCUAAAAAUGUGCUUCAGAAAAGAGGCUUUAAUCUGGAUGCAGGAGUCUGUGCUAUGAUCUAACUUGUUAUAUGUCCAUGAGAAAACAUCUCAGUCACAGGAGGUGACUAGCUAAGUCCACACUCUAGCAUGAGACCCAGCACCUAGUCAGUGCUUAAGAAAUACUCAGAAUGAUUUCUUAUUCCCCCUCCAGAUCUAGAAUUCUGAGUCUCUAAUUCUAGCCAAGCAGUUCCGGCAGACUUGAUUCUUAAUAAAGAUAUUCCCCGAGCACUGAAAAUUUGGACUCCAGCUGCCGAGUUACUUUCUGCCUCUGCUUCCCAGGAGAGGAUGCAUGGCAGUCCCAUUUGUAAUGCCUAUAAAAUUAUGCAGAGUGGACCACUGCAAUAUACCUAAUAAACCAUCUGGCAUUGCUUUUGUUUUUCCCAGAAACUGCCUAGCACACAUUAUACCAAAAGGAGUGCAUCUGCCUACACACAGAGCACACAGACCGGAUUGCUCACUGAAGUUUUCCCUACUGAAGAGUUCAAGGAUGGGCCAAAGUGAGGAUGGAAGGUCUUGCCCUGCAGUGAGGGUACUGGGAAGACACCACAUUCAGAGGCUUGAGAAUCAGUAAGGAAGCCAGUCUCCAGUGCACCAACCAG